rnacentral:rRNA from 1 species
GAGUUUGAUCCUGGCUCACCUUCAACGCUGGCGGCAGGCCUAACACAUGCAAGUCGAGCGGCAACGAGUUAACUGAACCUUCGGGGAACGUUAACGGCGUCGAGCGGCGGACGGGUGAGUAAUGCCUGGGAAAUUGCCCUGAUGUGGGGGAUAACCAUUGGAAACGAUGGCUAAUACCGCAUAAUAGCUUCGGCUCAAAGAGGGGGACCUUAGGGCCUCUCGCGUCAGGAUAUGCCCAGGUGGGAUUAGCUAGUUGGUGAGGUAAUGGCUCACCAAGGCGACGAUCCCUAGCUGGUCUGAGAGGAUGAUCAGCCACACUGGAACUGAGACACGGUCCAGACUCCUACGGGAGGCAGCAGUGGGGAAUAUUGCACAAUGGGCGCAAGCCUGAUGCAGCCAUGCCGCGUGUAUGAAGAAGGCCUUCGGGUUGUAAAGUACUUUCAGCAGUGAGGAAGGUGGGUAUGUUAAUAGCAUACUCAUUUGACGUUAGCUGCAGAAGAAGCACCGGCUAACUCCGUGCCAGCAGCCGCGGUAAUACGGAGGGUGCGAGCGUUAAUCGGAAUUACUGGGCGUAAAGCGCAUGCAGGUGGUUUGUUAAGUCAGAUGUGAAAGCCCGGGGCUCAACCUCGGAAUUGCAUUUGAAACUGGCAAACUAGAGUACUGUAGAGGGGGGUAGAAUUUCAGGUGUAGCGGUGAAAUGCGUAGAGAUCUGAAGGAAUACCGGGGGCGAAGGCGGCCCCCUGGACAGAUACUGACACUCAGAUGCGAAAGCGGGGGGGAGCAAACAGGAUUAGAUACCCUGGAAGCCCCACCCCCGGAAACGAUGUUCUACUUGGAAGGUUGGUGGCCUUGGAA